ACGCCCUUCUUGGUCAUUUAGAGGAAGUAAAAGUCGUAACAAGGUUUCCUAGCCUUAAGUUUUAAGGAACAUGAUUCUUCCACAAGUCUUAAAAACUUUAGAAGCCUUAGUAGCCCUGAGAAGGGAGGCCACACGACUCGAAAUAAAUGGCCGCUUGCUAGUUGACAUCUAAUUGUCAGCGACACGACCGGACUGAGGGAAAACCUACGAUACCUGAAGGUGGUCAUAGGUAACCCACAGCGAACCCUGAAAGCAUCGAGUGCUGAAUGGGAACGUCUACAGACUAAAUGGUCGGGGUAGAUCAUUCUAUAGGAUUGGUCUAUUUGAGAUAUAGUCGGGCCUGUGGUCAUUCAUCAGGGUGUCCCAAAUGUCAAUUCAUGACUGCGACAAUGUGCCAUGAAUUUCAUAAGACACGAUAACCGUUCCGUAGGUGAACCUGCGAAGGAUCAUUACAGAGAACAUGCCCUCUAGGGUAGAUCUCCAACCCUAUUUUAUUUACCUUUGUUGCUUUGGCAGGCCCGUCUCACGACCACCGGCUUAGCUGGUCAGUGCCUGCCAGAGGACCCAAACUCCAAAUUUUAGUCGUCUAGAAUCAUAAAAUAGUUAAAACUUUCAACAACGGAUCUCUUGGUUCUGGAUCGAUGAAGAACGCAGCGAAAUGCGAUAAGUAAUGUGAAUUGCAGAAUCAGUGAAUCAUCGAAUCUUUGAACGCACAUUGCACCCUCUGGCAUUCCGGGGGUAUGCCUGUUCGAGCGUCAUUACAACCCUCAAGCUUUGCUUGGUAUGGAUGCAAUCACUAUGAUCCAUCCCAAAAUCAGUGGCGGUUCCAUUCGCUUCCAGCGUAGUAACACUCUCGCUGUGGAUGACUGGGUGUGUACUUGCAGCAACUCUUCAAUUUAAUAAGGUUGACCUCGGAUCAGUAGGGAUACCCCUGAACUUAAGCAUAUC
rnacentral:rRNA from 1 species